rnacentral:rRNA from 1 species
AUACGGGGUGCAGCAGUGCGCGAAAACUUUACAAUGUGCGAAAGCACGAUAAGGGAACUCUGAGUGCCUCCUAUGGAGGCUGUUCAGGUGUCUAAAAAGCACUUGAAGUAAGGGCUGGGUAAGACCGGUGCCAGCCGCCGCGGUAACACCGGCAGCCCAAGUGGUAGCCACGAUUAUUGGGUCUAAAGCGUCCGUAGCCGGCCAGGUAAGUUCCUUGGGAAAUUUAACCGCUCAACGGUUAAGCUUUCAGGGAAUACUGCUUGGCUUGGGACCGGGAGAGGUCAGAGGUACUUCAAGGGUAGGGGUGAAAUCCGUUAAUCCUUGAGGGACCACCAGUAGCGAAGGCGUCUGACCAGACCGGGUCCGACGGUGAGGGACGAAGGCUAGGGUCGCGAACCGGAUUAGAUACCCGGGUAGUCCUAGCUGUAAACGAUGCGGGCCAGGUGUUGGCAUUACUGCGAGUGAUGUCAGUGCCGAAGGGAAGCCGUUAAGCCCGCCAUCUGGGGAGUACGGUCGCAAGGCUGAAACUUAAAGGAAUUGGCGGGGGGAGCACCACAACGGGUGGAGCCUGCGGUU